rnacentral:rRNA from 1 species
UACGUAGGGUGCAAGCGUUGUCCGGAAUUAUUGGGCGUAAAGAGCUCGUAGGCGGUCUGUCGCGUCGGCUGCGAAAACUCGGGGCUCAACUCCGAGCUUGCAGUCGAUACGGGCAGGCUAGAGUUCGGCAGGGGAGACUGGAAUUCCUGGUGUAGCGGUGAAAUGCGCAGAUAUCAGGAGGAACACCGGUGGCGAAGGCGGGUCUCUGGGCCGAUACUGACGCUGAGGAGCGAAAGCGUGGGGAGCGAACAGG